CGCGUAGGCGGGCUGUCAAGUCUGGGGUGAAAUCCCGCGGCUCAACCGUGGAACUGCCUUAGAUACUGACGGCCUCGAGGAAGGUAGGGGCAUGCGGAACUGUAGGUGGAGCGGUGAAAUGCGUUGAUAUCUACAGGAACUCCGGUGGCGAAAGCGGCGUGCUGGACCUUUUCUGACGCUGAGGCGCGAAAGCUAGGGGAGCAAACG
rnacentral:rRNA from 1 species